CCUUUUCGAGUUCUGACCAUUCAUGUCACCAAGAAACAACCUUCUCAUUGUAUCAAGACUUGUUCUAAUAGAUCACAGAAAAGAAAAGAAAAAAAAAAGAGGAGAGAAUUCCAAGUAUGUGCGCAAAGAUAUUUAUGCUGCCACUAAUGAUGCUUUGUUGGUGAUCUCAAGAUCAAAAUCAAAAGCAGAUGUUGGCUAUUUUGAUGUUAUAAGCACAAGAAAUAUCCAGUAAAGAUCACCUGAUCGUUGAGUGGGUCUCUUUAGAUGUAGAUGCACACUCCUGCCAGGCACUGCUGCUUAUCAGGUGUUUGUAGCUGUCUAUUUUACCGGCUUCUUUCACCAAACAGGCAGACAGAUGUAAGAAGACCUCUCUUGUAGGCUUGCGUGUGGUAGAUUCUUUCUCUAGGAUCCUGAGCUUGAGCUUUACUUGUCGACUUGGCAAACUGGAAGGAUCAACAUCACAUCAGAGUGGGGGGUCACUGCCAUUGUCACAAUCUGCAACUGCAUCUUGCAUCAACCCCCCACAAGGAUUUUGGAAUUUGCCUCUGGAAUCUGAACAGCACCACAUGUGGGUGUGUGAAUUCUGAGCCGGAAAAGACAUCUUGUCCUAAACUUUUUGUUCAGCUGAUGCAAAUAGAUCACGGUGGCAACUUCAUCACUUUUUUAUUUUCAGAAAAGAAAAAGGUAGUCAGAGCAUGCAUGCCUAAACUCAUGCUUGGAUGGUGUGCACAUGUGUGAUUCAUCAGUAAGCUAAGCAUGUCGAUCAAGAUAACAUAGCAGCAUCAGUUCAGUAAAGCUGUGUUGUACGGUCUUGUCUGCCAUUUGACAUGUGAGCUGAUACAUACCUCUGCAACCUCGAUGCAGUGAACCAAGGAUUAGCGACGUUGGCAUUCUUCGGGGUUGGCGUGAACUUGGUCUUGUUCCUGACGAGAGUCCUGCAGCAGAACAACGCUGAUGCAGCAAACAAUGUCAGCAAGUGGACAGGCACUGUG
rnacentral:lncRNA from 1 species